GUAGGGAAUAUUGGGCAAUGGUCGGAAGACUGACCCAGCCAUGCCGCGUGCAGGAAGACGGCCCUCUGGGUUGUAAACUGCUUUUAUCUGGGAAGAAAAAGGCCAUGCGUGGCAAAUUGCCGGUACCAGAUGAAUAAGCACCGGCUAACUCCGUGCCAGCAGCCGCGGUAAUACGGAGGGUGCGAGCGUUGUCCGGAUUUAUUGGGUUUAAAGGGUGCGUAGGCGGCUGAUUAAGUCAGCGGUGAAAGACUUCGGCUUAACCGGAGCAGUGCCGUUGAUACUUGUUGGCUUGAGUGUCGGAGGGGUACAUGGAAUUGAUGGUGUAGCGGUGAAAUGCAUAGAUACCAUCAGGAACACCGAUAGCGAAGGCAUUGUACUGGCCGACAACUGACGCUGAUGCACGAAAGUGUGGGGAUCGAACAGGAUUAGAAACCCCGGUAGUCC
rnacentral:rRNA from 1 species